rnacentral:rRNA from 1 species
UACGUAGGGUGCAAGCGUUGUCCGGAAUUAUUGGGCGUAAAGAGCGUGUAGGCGGCCCGAUUAGUCCGCUGUGAAAGUCCAGGGCUCAACCCUGGAAUGCCGGUGGAUACUGUCGGGCUAGAGUCCGGAAGGGGCGAGUGGAAUUCCUGGUGUAGCGGUGGAAAUACGCAGAUAUCAGGAGGAACACCGGUGGCGAAGGCGGGUCUCUGGGCCAUUACUGACGCUGAGGAGCGAAAGCGUGGGGAGCGA